rfam:Oryza rufipogon genomic scaffold, chr12
AAUAAGUGCAGUUUUACACUGUUCAUGUCCAACGAUCGCCUUUUUUUUAUUAGUAUUUUUAUUGUUAUUCGAUAAUAAAACAUGAAUAGUAUUUUAUAUGUGACUAAUAUUUUAAUUUUUUUCAUAAAUUUUUUAAAUAAAACAAAAGGUCGAACGUUAAACACGGAUACCCACGACUGCACUUAUU